rnacentral:lncRNA from 1 species
CCCGGAUGGUGGGUAACAGACACACCGCAGGGUCAUCUGGGCUCACACACGUGCUCUCACCCUAGACACCAGUGGCCACAUGAAGCCAACCUCACAGGACCAAUCACACAGCUGACAAAUUUCGCACAAAGUCACACAAAUACACACAGCACGGGUAUCCUCCCCGUCCUUUCCCAUGCGCGUCAUCUCAGACACAGCCGGGUACCAGCACACAGAGCGCUGCGUGCAUUCACACCUGGAUACUCACAGACCCAGCCAGGCGAGUGUUUUGGAGGAGACCCCCAGAGGAACACACACUUCAAGCAGAGUCUACAUAACAAGCCUCAAAGGGAAGCGUGGGUCUUGUUGUGCUGUGGGUGACCUUGAACACAUUGCUUCUAAUCCCGUUUGGAAAACUGAAAGGGCUUUCGCGGAAGGACAGGACAAAGGGAAGCAUCAAGUGGCAGAGACUGGACCAACCCUCAAGUCCAAGGCAUGGUGAAGCAGAAGGCAAACAGGCACAUCAAGCGUCAAGGGGUGGAGGGGUACCACUCUCUCACAGCGGGGAGAAGUGAAGAGUUGACAAGAACCAUACACAAGUGCUGCCAGACUCAUCUCACAGAGAUUUUAACAUGGCUGUGUUUGCCAGGCUAGUCUCUUGUUUCAGUUGUAACAAACAAAAGCCGCUCAAACGGGCUUGAUUUUGAAAAAGAAACUGCCUGGCUCUGGCCAUGGCUGGUUGUGGGGUUGCAUGAACUGUACGAAUUCACUCUGUUCCUUGGCUCUGUGUUUCUUUGUGUAAUGCUGUCUUCAGAUGGGUUCUCUCCAUGAUAUGGCCUGCUGGGACUCCAGUCUUACUGUCUUCUGAAGAAAGUCUCCCAGAUUUCAGCCCAGAUUCCUGAAUUAGCUCUCACUGGAUCACCCAGAGGGACUUGACUUGAUUUGAAGUAUGGAGUCACCGUGGAUAGGGAAUAGAGGGUGAGGACUGGCCGUUGAUGGAUUAUGGACUCCUAGGGCCUGGGAGUGAAGGUGAUGGCAUCCCACUCCAAUACUCUUGCCUGGAAAAUCCCAUGGAUAGAAAAGCCUGGUAGGCUACAGUCCA